AAGUCGUAACAAGGUUUCCGUAGGUGAACCUGCGGAAGGAUCAUUAACACGUAUCCACGUAUCUACCUCUUGUGAAUUUAUUUAUUUGUUUAGUAGUUUUCGUCUCAGAUAUGACUGAGGGAGCAGAUGACCAUGUUGAAUCUUCCCGUAAAAAAGGAGGAUUUGUUCUGCUUGCCUAUCCGCCUUUGUUGAGUGGUGUCUCGUUAUACCAUAUGCUCCUUAGGAUGGGUAUCUGUGAUAAACUCGAAUCAUGGUGGUAUUAUUUAUUAACCCCUUUUUUUUUAAUUGUCUUAGUGAGUGCUCAUGCGGAACGGGUUUUACCUGUGAAGCGUUGACCUCCCCAAAAAUUAACUAUUAUACAACUCUUAGCAACGGAUAUCUCGGUUCU
rnacentral:misc_RNA from 1 species